UUUGAGCUGCUGUUUAGUCUCCCAGCGAUUCAGGGAGGCUUGGCUAGGGAGUUUCACAGCUUUUUCCUUCUCCAUCUGUUAAACGACAGGGUACGGGAUGAAAAUUGAUCUAUCCCCUCUCAUUCCCAAUGAACAACAGCAGAAAAUACAGAGACUGCAGCAGCUCAAGAUACAUCUUUAGAGGCAGGUCAAAGAGCUAUCUGGGAAUUGCCACAGUUGUAAUAAAGGCUCUGAGAUCUCCAUACAAAACAAGGAAAGAACCAGCUUGACACAAUCCAGGAGAUACUACAACUGCCACUUUUCAAAGAUCUAUAGGAGGUGCUUACCACCAGCUUAUCAAUAAAAGACCAAUAUGGACUUUGCUACCGACCAGCUCAUCACAUUGUGGCGAGCAGAAUGGGAACAAGCUGCUCCCCCUGUAAGAAACUCCUCCCUCAUCACUCAGCGCUUUACAAGAGACUCCUGGCCUCGAGUUUCCAUGCUGUCUCUGGUGCAAACUCAACCAUUUCAGAUGUGGAGUGCUGAGAUAUGCAGCAAAUAACCACCCCUGGGGACUCAGGAACAGCCCUCUGCAUCGCUGCCGUGAGGUUGAGAAAACUGCACACCUAUUGAAUAGUUGUUCAUCUCGUGCUGGUCUAUCAAGACUUCAAAGCCUCCACAAUAAUCACCAGAUGUAGUGACACUACACAAACAUGCAGCUGUCUCACCAUGUAAAUAGCCACCAUUCUCUCCACUGGCCCCUUCUAUGCUCUUUUUUUCACAAGCACCCCAAAAUCAAUGCACCCCUUUCCCAAAUUCUAAGGCACCCGUCUGCAACUCAGAAAUGAAAAUAUUUCGCUUUUAUCAUCCCAUUCUAUUGUGCACUUCUUUUAAUUUUAUCUCUAUUUAUAACCAUGCAGUCUGUUCCCUUAUUUUACCCAUUGGAAUAACCUGCUUAUCAAGACACCCCAAACUCCCAGGCUCUCUUUGACAAGGGUUUCUAAACAUGCGUGUUGCUUUAGAAUGUCCCCCUUUCCUUCCUUGUUACUCAAUGAUUUUCUUACAUCCAAAAGCUUGUUUACCCGGAAUCCUAUAGCUGUAAUAAGUGAGGCAUCUCAACCCAGUCUUUUACCUAAAGGCAAUAAAUGGUCUGACUAGGAUUAAAGACAGUUUUAAAUCCCAAACUACUUAAAAAUAUCUGGCAGCUGUUGCACAAAUGACCUCUGCAGAAGGAAAUACAAGAACUUCCUUCCAACUGUAAUAGUGAAGGUGUGGUUAAAUAAUCCUGGAUCAGCUGGGCAGAAGGAUUUCUCCCUGCUCUGAACAAUCUGAAAUAAAGGCAAAAAUCAGGUACCUGAAGCUUUCCUUUGUCGUAGGCCAGUUUAUUCUUACUGUCAGUCAGCUCUGCUAGAACCUGUUCGACCUGCUGUUGAGCAUACUGGGAAAACAAGAGCAGAGGUCACUCUCUCCUAGGAAAAACAAGCGAAAAUGGACUUGGGCUUCAGCAUCUUGUCUCUCCCUGAGGUUUAGCCCUUUUCCCUUUCAAGUUUUAGCACUACCUUUGUCGUCCUGUUUUGUCCAGAUUUUCAUUUAAAAAUGAGGCCAAGAGUUCUCACCAAGUGAAACAACAGAGCAGCAGAAAGAGGUAGUCGUACCACCUUGGUACUAAGCCACGCCAGCCUAUAGGAAGAAGCAGGCAUACACUGGUUCUCAACCAUCUAGACCAAUCCCUGUAUCAUAGAGCCUAACCUCAAGCACAGGCAGCAAGAAAGUGAAUGGCAGAAGAACCUGCCUUCUGGCAAGAGGGAAAGGAGGAGAAAAGGAAUUGGAAAAGGACAGAGAGUCAGGAAGGCAAGAGUCAUAGGCAAAACAAUGGUUCAGAGUGAGAGCAGGUACCAGAAGGAACAAAGAAUUGGAAAAUUAUGGAGAUGAACUAUUUUUAAGCUUCAGAACAUUUUGUUGUUUCAUACUCCUAUGAGUGACUAAUUAUUGUGAAGCUAAUUUUGUGUGUGGAGGGGAGAUGGUAAAUAAACUGUCACUUAUUAUAUUUUAACUUUAAA